rnacentral:misc_RNA from 1 species
AAGUCGUAACAAGGUUUCCGUAGGUGAACCUGCGGAAGGAUCAUUAGCGAGAGCCUGCCGCAGACUCGUGCGAGUCUGCGCACGCGCGCCAUCCUUGUGUUGUGUGUGACGUGUUGUGUGCGCAAUGCCACUGUUGCCAAGGUGGCGGUGGCGUCUGCGCAUGCGCAUUUUUUUCACUCCAUUUCAUCGCAUUUAUUCUAAUUACUGCUGCUCGCAUGAGCACAAACAACCGAAAACUGCCAGCAAUGGAUCACUCGGUUCUC